rnacentral:SRP_RNA from 1 species
CGGCAGGUAGGGCUGGGUCGUUUGCCGCGACCUGUAACCGGUAUGGCAAUAGCCGGAGCCAGUAACCACCACUGAGAAUGAACCGGGAAACCGUUGGACCCAGCUGCGGGACGUUGAUGAGCGGUCUCUGGAGUCCGCUUCUGCUACAGCAGUAAUCGUAGGAUUGCUGUGAGUAGCUUAAUCCUCGGAACCGUGUCAGGUCCUGGCGGGAACAGCACUAACGAGGGGUUGUGGAGCCCCGGAGGUAGCUGCUCUGAGAACCGCACUGUUCAGUCCAGCGCCUACCGACAUACGAUGAGGUGGAUCUGCCG